rnacentral:lncRNA from 11 species
CUUGUGGUGAAUCGGUAUGCAGCAUACUCAAUUCACCCUAUUGUAACCUGGAGGCGGCGCUUGACCUGUUCCUGUCCAAGGUGAAGGAGGGCCCUUGGCUGGCCGAGGAAGGCAAGGGCGGCGCGGGCCAUUGGUGGGAUCAUCAGACACAUCAGAAAUAUCACUCGCCUGGAGGUGUUGUUCCUGGAGCUUCUGAUCGCCUUGGUGACCAACUUCAUCAGGGUCACAAGGCUUGGAUUCAAGGCACCCAGCAGGUACCGGAGCAGCAGCUACAUUCCUCCAGAGUAAGGAGAGGAUGGGGAGGAAGGGUCAGCAGGACUCCCAGCCGUUUUGUGGGGCUUAUGGGGGACUCAGACCCUACACUGAGAAGUAAGCCUUUUUCUUUCUUUCUUUCUUUCUUUCUUUCUUUCCUUUCUUAUUUUUUUGCAGAGAACUGAUGAAGAUCAUCAUAGUGCUGGUGAAGAGGGUGGCCUGGGUGUCCUUCAAUGAGACCUCCGAGUAGAUGCUAGAAGAACCCAGCAUCUGCCCCAAGGAAUGGCCCUCCAGUUGCAGAGCCUCCUCAAGUUCUCCUCCUCCCUACUCCAGCACCUGCUUUCCACCUGGGAGGCAGAAGUGCCGCUAGAGCAUUUGGCCGGCGUGGUGGCCUUCUACAUCCAGCUGCUGCACAUCAGCCAGUGCCCUUACUCCCCAGAGAAGACCUGGACGCUGCUGACGGCCUGGCUCCAACAUUGCAGCCUGGCGGUCCAACAUCAGAGCAGGCAGGGCCUUCUCCUUCUCUGCAAGACCUACAGGGAGAUAGGUCAGAGACAGCCCAUGCUCUGCGCACCACAGAGAGGCCCAGCAGGCCUUGCUCUUGUGAUCAUAGGAAGAACAUACUGUAGCCUGAAAACAUCCACCCUGCACCUCUGGGCUCCUGGAGCCCAGAAGGUGUGAGAUUGCCCCCACUUGCUCCCAAAACCCCUUAAAAAUGGGAGGGGAGUUAAAAUAUCUUACCAGCCUCCAUUAGUCCUCACAGCACAGUUCCUGGAAUGUACUAUUACGCGAGAGAAAGCAAGGGAGAGGAAGGAGCGAUUCCCCCCCCCCCCC